GUAGGGCGGGACACGUGGUAUCCUGUCUGAAUAUGGGGGGACCAUCCUCCAAGGCUAAAUACUCCUGACUGACCGAUAGUGAACCAGUACCGUGAGGGAAAGGCGAAAAGAACCCCGGCGAGGGGAGUGAAAAAGAACCUGAAACCGUGUACGUACAAGCAGUGGGAGCACAGAGCAAUCUGUGUGACUGCGUACCUUUUGUAUAAUGGGUCAGCGACUUAUAUUCUGUAGCAAGGUUAACCGAAUAGGGGAGCCGAAGGGAAACCGAGUCUUAACUGGGCGUUAAGUUGCAGGGUAUAGACCCGAAACCCGGUGAUCUAGCCAUGGGCAGGUUGAAGGUUGGGUAACACUAACUGGAGGACCGAACCGACUAAUGUUGAAAAAUUAGCGGAUGACUUGUGGCUGGGGGUGAAAGGCCAAUCAAACCGGGAGAUAGCUGGUUCUCCCCGAAAGCUAUUUAGGUAGCGCCUCGUGAAUUCAUCUCCGGGGGUAGAGCACUGUUUCGGCAAGGGGGUCAUCCCGACUUACCAACCCGAUGCAAACUGCGAAUACCGGAGAAUGUUAUCACGGGAGACACACGGCGGGUGCUAACGUCCGUCGUGAAGAGGGAAACAACCCAGACCGCCAGCUAAGGUCCCAAAGUCAUGGUUAAGUGGGAAACGAUGUGGGAAGGCCCAGACAGCCAGGAUGUUGGCUUAGAAGCAGCCAUCAUUUAAAGAAAGCGUAAUAGCUCACUGGUCGAGUCGGCCUGCGCGGAAGAUGUAACGGGGCUAAACCAUGCACCGAAGCUGCGGCAGCGACGCUUAUGCGUUGUUGGGUAGGGGAGCGUUCUGUAAGCCUGCGAAGGUGUGCUGUGAGGCAUGCUGGAGGUAUCAGAAGUGCGAAUGCUGACAUAAGUAACGAUAAAGCGGGUGAAAAGCCCGCUCGCCGGAAGACCAAGGGUUCCUGUCCAACGUUAAUCGGGGCAGGGUGAGUCGACCCCUAAGGCGAGGCCGAAAGGCGUAGUCGAUGGGAAACAGGUUAAUAUUCCUGUACUUGGUGUUACUGCGAAGGGGGGACGGAGAAGGCUAUGUUGGCCGGGCGACGGUUGUCCCGGUUUAAGCGUGUAGGCUGGUUUUCCAGGCAAAUCCGGAAAAUCAAGGCU
rnacentral:rRNA from 1 species